CGUGGGUAACCUGCCCAAGAGACUGGGAUAACACCUGGAAACAGAUGCUAAUACCGGAUAACAACACUAGACGCAUGUCUAGAGUUUAAAAGAUGUUCUGCUAUCACUCUUGGAUGGACCUGCGGUGCAUUAGCUAGUUGGUAGGGUAACGGCCUACCAAGGCGAUGAUGCAUAGCCGAGUUGAGAGACUGAUCGGCCACAUUGGGACUGAGACACGGCCCAAACUCCUACGGGAGGCAGCAGAG
rnacentral:rRNA from 1 species